rnacentral:rRNA from 1 species
GAUGAACGCUGGCGGCGUGCCUAAUACAUGCAAGUCGAGCGAACAGACGAGGAGCUUGCUCCUCUGACGUUAGCGGCGGACGGGUGAGUAACACGUGGAUAACCUACCUAUAAGACUGGGAUAACUUCGGGAAACCGGAGCUAAUACCGGAUAAUAUAUUGAACCGCAUGGUUCAAUAGUGAAAGACGGUUUUGCUGUCACUUAUAGAUGGAUCCGCGCCGCAUUAACUAGUUGGUAAGGUAACAGCUUACCAAGGCAACGAUGCGUAGCCGACCUGAGAGGGUGAUCGGCCACACUGGAACUGAGACACGGUCCAGACUCCUACGGGAGGCAGCAGUAGGGAAUCUUCCGCAAUGGGCGAAAGCCUGACGGAGCAACGCCGCGUGAGUGAUGAAGGUCUUCGGAUCGUAAAACUCUGUUAUUAGGGAAGAACAAAUGUGUAAGUAACUAUGCACGUCUUGACGGUACCUAAUCAGAAAGCCACGGCUAACUACGUG